UUUUUUUUUUCUUUUCUUUUCUAAUGGGGGCUUGUUGUUAAAGUCUUCAAUGCUAAAAAAUGAUUAAAUUUUAAACUAAUAAGACUGUAGAAAACAUAUCUUCCCAGUGGGGGUUUCCAGCAAAAGUUUUUGUAAAGGCCUCUGCACAAUUUCAGCAAGUUUCUGGCAGACUCAGUGACCUUUUGCAGGACUCCCCGCCACCCAUGGGGUGCUUGGUGGGUAUUUAUACCGCCACGCUUGUCAAAUUAUUACCACUCCGUGAAUAUAAUGGGUGAUAGGACACAAUUAAUUAUUUAAAUAUUAUUAAUAGAACACAAAGCACUGUGCAUUUUUGUGAAUGCCACAUCUUUGCUGGAAUAAGCAAGUCCUUGAGUCACUGAUACUAAUAGGAAAGCCCUUUGGCUGCAGGUCAUUCUGUAUGUUUAUCUGAUUCUCAAGGUCAAGGUGACUAUGCAGCUGAGAUUUUCCUCAGUCCGUGAGCAUCUGUGUGAGGGGUGUGUGUGCUCACAAAUCAGCUAUCCUUCCUGGGACUCCACUGGAACUUUCUCAGGCAAGCUCCAGUUUCAUUGCAUGAGCACUUGCCUGGAGGCCAUGAUUGUGACUUGCUGUGGUCGCCCUGUCACUCAGGCCAAAGCACACAAAAGGAUAACAUCUCAGUGGAGGUCCCUCUAUCCAAAGUCAAGCUUUCAGGGUUGCAGGUCUGAAAAGCAGAUCUUGCUUCCUCACCCAAGUUCAUGCUAAUCAAAUGGGUACCACAACAACGUAGAUGCCAGAAGACUAAUUUCCGUGAAAGCUCCAACCACCUCAUUGGACUGGAGAGUCAUUUUCUUAGGUCAGCACAUUUUGUCCCACUAGGAAAAUUUCCAUGGCAAGGUGCUUAAUCAUCAGAGGGUCACUUUGGUGUCUGUGUCAUCCAAGCACAAUGGUAUUUGCAAUUAAUAGCAUCAAACAAUAACCGAGUGCUUAUUAAGUAGUAGGUGCAUUCUAAAGGUUCUACUCUUCCUUAUGUGCUGGGCAGUGUUCUAAAUUCUUUCCUAUAUUAACUUCUCUUAUACCCCACUCUCCAUGGGGUAAGUAUUGUUAUCAUCAUUUCCAUUUUACAGAUGAGAAAACAAGUCCAGAGUUGAUCAAAGUCACUGGUGAGUGGCACAACUGGGAUUUGAACCUGGACUUAGCCUCUGUUUUUGCCCCAUACACCCCUCUGCUCCUUAGGGUGCCUCUUCUAUACUUUCAAACUCCACCCCGUGAGCCUCUCCUCCCAGAUAACGUGAACUCUGAAAGGUCCUCACACUGUAUUUUCUGGAUUUCCAAGUUGUAGAUUCUACAAAGUUGACAUGUGUUUUCUCAGAUUGGUUAACCCCAUGACUAGCCAUUGUCAAGACCUGAUAUUGCUGCCUUUAGCCUGGCCUUUAUGUCUUCCUGUGACUUUUGCCUGUAUCUAGCUUCACCCAUCAUGUGCUAACAUUAUUCAUCUGCCUCUCAGGGUGCUGGCAACGCCCCUCUAACAGGAUGGUCCACGUUGUAUUUCCUACAAUAGAUUCAAAAGUAGCAGGAAACUGUGCACGCAGUGAAGCCUGCCAAUUGAAACCCAAAAGGGAAGAGACAGAAUGGGAAAUGUGAUGAACAAAGACAUGAUAUAGUCCCCAUGAUGUGUAGUCCUGGAAUCUUGGCUAAUAUGAUCAGUAAGUGAAGCUCUCACUUUACGUCACUUUUUCAGAGCACCAUGCCCAGCAGUACACAUCUAGUAAGAAACAGUUAUUGAACUUUGAGAACUGUCUAAAAGGUGGAAAACGAAAUGGAGGUACAAAUCAUAUAUAAGUCAAAGAGACAGCUUGUAAUUAUUCCUUCCCCUCUCUGAGGAAAAAAAAAGCAAAUACCAAUGGAAUAGGCACUUGCAAUGACAGAAUUCUGUCAAUACCCAUUGGCAGAAUAUAUUCCAUUUGCUGGUCAAUGCACUUUUUGAUAACAAGAGGCUGAAGCUGGGCCCAAAUAAUGGCAUGUAGAUAGCUCAUUCCAAACAGCCAGGGGCUUCCAGGCAUCUCAAUAUUUAUUACACUGUGUUAAAAAUAUGAUUUUUGAAAUGUCUUUCUCACAUUUUAUCUGGUUAUAACAUUGUGACAACAAGCUCUGUCUAUAUCAUGUGGCUUAUGUACAUUAAAUAUUCCACUUGAAGUCUGCAUAACAAGCUGAACUUGCUUAUUUCUGGCAUUAUUUUGCAAUUAGUGUGGUUCAAAUGAGAGUAGCUAUAGCUAGAUGUUUUAAGUAACUAGAAGUAAAAGGUAAAAGACAGAUAUUUUGAAUGCAAUUAAACUACUUAAACAUCCCUGUUGGAAGGAGAAACGACUAUGUGGCAAAUCAGAAGUAAUAUCAUGCUUUGGAGAGAAUUUGCUAUUAAAUACAUGUCAGUUGAGUAAUUAGUUAACUGUACAGAAAAUAGUUAACUGGAGCACAGGGAUGAUAUUUACUGAGCAUAUUUUUAUUGGUUAAUGACAACUUUUUUGUUGGGCUCUAUUCUGAUUGGUGGAUGCCUUGUUUUAGUUGGUUGAUUCCUAUCUGUUGUUAACUUUUUUGUUUGGCUUCUGAAACAAUGGUUGAUCAUUGUUAAAUAUUGUUAAUUGUUAAGUUUUUUAACUAUGACCUCCACUUGGAAGCAUACUUAAUACUAUAUAGGCAAAAAAUCCAAAUCAGAGUUUUUAUUAAGCAACAGUCAAUAAAAGGGCAUACUUGGGUAUGUUUAUAUAUUUGAUUCAGUGUCAGAGAAUAAACACCAAAAAGACAAGAACAGAAUGGAAAAAUGAGUUGCAAACUUAAAGUCAAAAGCUUAUUUAUAAUAGAAAGCAAACAUUUACAUAGACUUACUAUGUGCCAGCCACUGAUUUAAGUACUUUAUAUAUAUACUAAUGUAAUCCUCAGAGGAACUCUGUAAAUAGAUACUGUUAUUAUCCCCAUUCUACAGAUGAGAAAAUUGAGGCACAGAGCAAUGGAAUAGCAUGCUGAAGUUUACUACCUAAGUGGCAGAGAUUGAAUUCAAAUCCAGGAAUUUGACUCCAGAGCCAUGCUUUCAACUCUUUUUCUCUACUGUCUCUACUACAAAAAUAUGUAAAAAUUCAUAUAAACGUGUAAGUUAAUCGAUAUUCAAAUGACCUGAAAAGAGCACAUAAAUGCAUUCUAUAAAUAAUUAUAUCAAAAAUCACAACAUUUUUGAAAUUAGAGAAAUACAAAGUCAUUCAGUGAGCUUCUCAAAUUAGAGAAAUAGAAAUGAAAAGUCCUUCAGUGAGCUUCUCAAAUUAGUAAAUGUGAGAAAGCUCAAUUUGUAAAGGACCUGAGAAAACAGAUAUGCUUUCAAUGGCUGUUGGCACAAGUCGACUGAAGCUUUCUGAAGGACAGUUUGGUAGUAGGUUAGGGAGCUUCUGAGACAUAGCUUGUUUCCUUUUCAUGCAGGAAUUUCAGUUUUGGAAAAAUACCUUAAAAAUAACCUAACAGAGAAAUAAGUGAUAUCUUACAUAGAUAUAUUGUUGUGUAUAAAAGUAAAAAUUUGACAAUAACUCAGACGCACAACAAAAGGGAUACACCCAUGGUGUGAAGAACAUGGAACAGUCAAACAGAUACUACAUGCACAUGUGUGAGCUUUAUCAACAUGAAAUAUGUGAGUAGAAAAAAGAACCCGAAAAUCAUGUACAGCCAAAGGUAUAAUACACUGAUUAAACUGUGGGGAAACCUUUACGGGUCAUUUGCUUAAAGCCUGGGGAAAAGUGACAUGUUGGGGGCCAUGUUUCCACAAUCUUUCCUUAGCCUCUCUGCUUCUAUUUUCUGUGCUGAAAACUCCAUCUUGUCCUGCUUUACUUUACCCCGUAUUCCUGCUUGGAAAACAGUCGCAGUGCUGGUAAAUAACUUAAACUUAAGAACAAAGACCAAAAGGCAUAAGUUAUGUGGUCAGCUGAAUGAGGACCUAUUGCAUUGGUCUAGGCAUGGGGGACCUGUGCCGAUUGGCACACCAUUUGUGCAGCGUGAUGUGUCCUGUUAAAAUAAGAGAAAGAGGAACCCUCAUGGCCCCAGGGGAUUUAUGAGCGGUUGUUAGCAGAAUAUGCAUCAGCAAGGAGAAAGAGGUGCAAACCUAGGCACACCGGUUGCCAGGAUUGCCGCAGAUAGGCCUGCCAUCUGGGAAGCACAAUGAUGAUUCUCUAGGUGCUAUGCAGAGACAGCUAAGGCCAGCCUUCCUCAAUGCUAAUGAUUGUUAAAUGCCUAAAGGUCAGAAUAAAAGAUUAACCAGCUGCCCACUAUGUGACUUUAAAAAUAAUGAAAGAACUUUUAAAAUAAUAAAAAAAACUAUAUCCUGCACCUAUAGUCCCCUCCUCACUUGAGGUCAUCCUAAAGAGCACAAUAAAAGCAGUGUGGCUUCUUGAGGCGGUGCUCUUGGUCCCUGAGACCUUGAGUCCCCCAGUUCCCACCUUUACUUAAGAUAAAUGUCUCAUUCUUGUUUUAUGUUAACUUUUUCUUAAGUUUCACAGUACCCGUUCUUCAGCCCUCACCUGCCGAGGAGCAGUGAUGGAUGUAGCAGUUUAAACUUUUACUACUCGUGUGUAAACUACUUCUUUACUAAUCUUAAGUUGCUUAAGUUCUCAUUGGCUUGCUCUCUUGUGUGUGACCGGAGAAAUGUAGGAAAUAAGGGAACGCCAUUUCAGAAAUGGGUCAAUUUUAUAUCUAAAUAGAAUUACGCCGUACAUCUCUGAUGUGAUCCCAAGUGGAGCUGCCUGGGAACGCCAAGCGAUAGAAAACACUAGGAGAAGGCACAUGGGGGAUCAAAAGAGAAGCAAAUACAUGUCAGGUCAGGAAAAGUAGUCUGAGCAUUCAUCAUCCUUGGCUCGAACAUACAUUCGAGAACAACUCCACCCAUAGCUAGUCACAAAUGCUCUGCCAAAAGAAAAAAAAAGUAAAGUAGCAGCAUAUGCUGGAGACGUUGCUGUUUUUAUGAUAUGCAGAGAGACAUUUCCUUUCAUAUAUUCCCUUCCUUCCCGCUGCUGAGAAUCCAGCCCUGUCUUUGCUGUGAUUACAGACCUUUUCUGGGCAAAUGUUCGACUUCUUUUUCACCCUGCAUCGUGAUCUUCAGCAUCCAGGCUGAAGGUGUCUGUUUGAUAUUUCAAAAAUAUACUUGGUUCAUCAGAGCCUCUAUUUCCAUUGAACUUCUCUCCUCCCACCUCCUUCACCAUAUACCAUUUACUGGAUGUUCUACAUAUAGUUGGAUUUGCUUCAGUUGGUGUCAUUAUGAAUAUUAAAAAUAGAGUUUAAGGGAAAAUACGUAUACUUCUCUGUGCUGUACAUUUCUCCAAGAAGCACAACACUGCAUAAUUUCUCAAAUGCAACCCCAUUUUCAUCUUGCCAGCAAUUUGGCAGUUCUCAAAAGGUUACUGCUCUGAAUUUGUUUUCUUUGUAAUCUUGCAGUCCAUUUGUUCUGCCUU
rnacentral:lncRNA from 1 species